GGUAGUGGUGGCUCAGGGAUUAAAAUGUUGGACUUCUGAUCAGAAGGUCAUGAGAUCAAAUCCCAGCACUGCCA